UUUUUUAAAUUUCUUUCUGGAUUUACUUUUUUGUUAUUUAUCCUUUAUAAUUUCUAUAGUGGAGUACAUGUGUCGUGGACUGGAUGCCUCUCAUCUACGUGUCCUUUUUUGCUUCUCUUUUAUUACUAUCUCACCGUUUUGCACCAAUACAUGGCUUUCUCCCUUUGUUUCUGCAUCUUUUUGCUUACUCACUCUCAAUACUCCAUUGUUACUCUAAUAGUCCACCACUCUUACUGUCGGUAGCCACCGCUUCCUUUUCACCGAUAUACCCAACCUACCUCUUGCCACAUAUUUUCUAGACUAUCGAUUAUCACACACCAUCUGUUUCACCCUACCGUCUCCCCUCUCUUCCUUUAAUGGAUUCCGACGACCGGUCUACGUCUCACUAUUGGCUGCUUGCUCUGCCUUCGUGUGAUAGAUGAAGUUCUGUAUAUCGGCAGAAGCAUGACGGAAGCCCUCACUAGCAACAAAUAAGGAAUACACCCACUGCCCUCUUCUACAUCUAAAGGGUAAGAAAUGUCCUUUAAACUUUUUUUUUCCUGUUAUCGAUUUCUGUAACAACGAAGGUGUUGUUUCGAUUUUUCUACUUAUAACUUUGAACUCCAAUUAUAUAUUUUUUUGUUAUGAACAUGCGACGUAUGACGCCGAGGAUUGCUGGGUUGGUUGGAAAGUCACGCUUUCACCUUGGGUUCAACAAAAUUUUAAUCAGCCAGGGCUUAUGGUUCUUUUGUAUAGCCUCGAAGGCGAUGACUAGAUGGUCGAAAGUGCUGGUCGUCUAAGCUACAAGAGCCGUUCAAAACAUAUGUUUAUUUUACACGCCUCUGAUCGGUUCCUUGAUUUCUAUUAGAUAACUUAAUUUGAAUUUAUAUUUUGCUGAAACCAGAUCCUGGACAUAAUGAUAUCGUGUGAUUGUGUUACAUGCACUUGAUUUAUGCUGUUGUUGAGCAGCAAUUAUUGCGUUUUAUAUUUCUUAUAAUUACUUAAAUCUCGAGUGGAUUAUUGUGUAAGAUGUGGUUGAAUUUCUGUUGAGGUUUGUGUGAUUUUGGCCAAUAAAGAUGAAAUGAAUAGGGGAUAUUUUACUAAUACGGUGAAGUAAAACAACAUGGUCGUAAGGUAAGACAAGUUUUAAUAGAUUAUUAAAGCAAAAUAUGAGUUGUCAUUGCCUUUGUUGUUAAUUUAGUAAAAUAACUCACAGUAUGAAAUGAUAUUACAAUGUUUUUGCCUUUUUUUUUUCAUUUGGGUGGCUGAAUAAGAAUGAAACAUCAUCAUUCUUUUUUUUGGUAGGAAAUGACUGAUUCUUGGAGUUUUUCUUAUUGUUGAAGCUUUUAGGGACUCAGAGACAGUCAGUUAUAUGAGGUACUGUCAUUGCCUUUGUUAUGAGAUUUGAUUGUAAUUCUUAGGAUGCACACAAACUGCUCGACAAAAUGCUUGAACCAACUUUUUCAAUUUUUUAUUCAAAACCAUUAUUCAGGGUAUGCUUAAUUUUCCUUCGAGUAUGCUUAAUUAUGAGAUUCUACACCAGAUAUUAUCCAACUUUUGCCAUGAAAGAAUCACGAGUCUUUUGACUGUAUCUGUAUGUGGUUGUGGUAGAGGAGUGAGGAGGGGUAUGUUGGUCGUUUUGAAGAAAACAAUGAAUUGGUUUACAUGUGACUGCAUGUGUUUGUGGCAAGCCUUCAAGAUUGGUAUCCCACACACUUCUUUAAUUUCUAAUGUUUUAUUAUGUUGUUAUUUCUAAAGUUAAGCAUUUUCUCCCAAUCAUGUUUCUGUUUAUGCAUUUUUCAUUUUCGUAGGG